rnacentral:rRNA from 1 species
CACAGCACUUUGCCAACUCGUAAGAGGAAGUAUAAGGUGUGACGCCUGCCCGGUGCUCGAAGGUUAAGAGGAUGCGUCAGUCGCAAGAUGAAGCGUUGAAUUGAAGCCCGAGUAAACGGCGGCCGUAACUAUAACGGUCCUAAGGUAGCGAAAUUCCUUGUCGGUUAAAUACCGACCUGCAUGAAUGGCGUAACGAGAUGGGAGCUGUCUCAACCAGAGAUUCAGUGAAAUUGUAGUGGAGGUGAAAAUUCCUCCUACCCGCGGCAAGACGGAAAGACCCCGUGGACCUUUACUACAACUUAGCACUGCUAAUGGGAAUAUCAUGCGCAGGAUAG